GACGAACGCUGGCGGCGUGCUUAACACAUGCCAGUCGAACGGAAAGGCCCUGCUUUUGUGGGGUGCUCGAGUGGCGAACGGGUGAGUAACACGUGAGUAACCUGCCCUUGACUCUGGGAUAACUUCAGGAAACUGGGGCUAAUACCGGAUAGGAGCUCCUGCUGCAUGGUGGGGGUUGGAAAGUUUCGGCGGUUGGGGAUGGACUCGCGGCUUAUCAGCUUGUUGGUGGGGUAGUGGCUUACCAAGGCUUUGACGGGUAGCCGGCCUGAGAGGGUGACCGGCCACAUUGGGACUGAGAUACGGCCCAGACUCCUACGGGAGGCAGCAGUGGGGAAUAUUGCACAAUGGGCGGAAGCCUGAUGCAGCAACGCCGCGUGCGGGAUGACGGCCUUCGGGUUGUAAACCGCUUUCGCCUGUGACGAAGCGUGAGUGACGGUAAUGGGUAAAGAAGCACCGGCUAACUACGUG
rnacentral:rRNA from 1 species